CGUCAGCGCCAAGACACCCCCUCCAUUGCUUCUGUGUUGUGGUGGCUCGUUCUUUGUUGAAUUUAUGUUGUUGUUAUAUAUCUUUUUUUUAUAUUAUGCCUGAGCGUUUAGUGGUAGGCUCUUGCUCAAACACCCGCGUGUAGGAGUAAGCUUGUUCACGUUUCCAAAAGACCCAAUUCACCGCGAUACCGACCGCGUUACAGACCGGGUGCGAGACGGCAAUACACAAAGUCAAACACCCAGAUGUUCAACCGUGGAAAAGCGUGCCAAGAUGACAUGAACAAGCGAAGACAGCUCUGGCUUUGCAAACUGAUACAGUGCCAGCCGACAGUGCUUCAACACUUAUUGUCUUGAAGAGCCACACAGGGAUGCUGCAACCCAGGUACCAAGGAUGCCCAACAGGUGUAUAGUGUGCAUUUUCCCAAAUAAAGGAAAGGUGACUACAUCGUCAGGAAAGUUUUGGACAAUGCCGCUUUUGAAUAUGUCAAGAAACUUAUGACCAGUGUUGAAGACGUUUGUUGCAGCAAGGACUACCUUGGAGACGACAAAGAGGACCUGUUGUGUGUUCAACACGCUCACUUGCCACUGACUGCUGCAAACUGUCACAAAGACGCUGUGAGAUCGUAUGUAAAUCCGGUUCAUGAAUGGAACAUGAAAACAGUUUAAACACAAAUAAUAUAUAUAUAUUUUCUUUUUUAAGAGCAAGAACAAUAUCUGUGACAAAUAGCAAAUACUGGGAUCAUUGGUCACCAAAUCCCACAUGAUCGACUGAAAAAAAAAAUCCUGAUUGCACUUAAAUCAAUUAUUAUGCCCUAUAUUAUUAAUACAUUGUGCAUUGUUACAUACUCGUAUACAUACUAACUUGUUAGUAAGGAUGAUUGUGGAAUCAUGCAUGUCCAUAAUGAAUAUUUAUUAACAUGAACAAAGCGCUAAAACAUUUGAAAAAUGUGGUAACUAUUAUAAUAGGAUUAUUCUUUAUUUGUCACUUUCUUGUCUCUUCAAAUCGACAAAAAAGAGUGACACACACCUCCCACCCAUCAUUAAAAACCUCCUGAAGAACAGAUGCAUUUGCCACUGUUUGGUACAUUUAGACUUGCAAGGGAAAAAUCUCUGAGUGCUUUUUAUCCCAGCAGGUGUUAUGCAUAUCAGACAUUUAGCUGUGAGAGGACAAAAAAAUGUAAACUGACACGCACACAAGCACACGCGCACACACACAUUUAGUGUAAUAAUGACCAACAGGACUCCACAGGCUUCUCAGCAGGACUGGGACGACACAGAAGUAUGAAGGGACGACACAAUGAGGCGGAUUCUUUUUGGCAAUUGAAUGAAGAGAAGCGAUGGAAAAGGGUACAAGAAAUGA